AGCUGCCAGAGCUGACAUGAAGUAGAACAGAGAUGAGCUGAGCUUUGCCCCACCUGCAGAUGUAACUUCCCACAUACACCCCUUUUGGCUGAGCUGUAUGGCCAUAAGCGUAGAGACUUGCAGCUGUAUGUGGCCGUGAAUGAGAGACCCAGAGAUGGAAGCUUCACAGCAUUUGUGGCAGUAGCGGCAGAAAUGCAUCACACAUUUGAGUCCCUAGAUGGCCUUGUGGAGAAACGUCUACCUGCCACCCUGGACUAUUAGCUGAAAGAUAAGCGGUGGGUCCUGCUAUCAACUUGUAGUAAAUACCUUCCUUGUUAUGAUAAGGCAUCACACCCUGUUGCAGUCAAAUUCUUAACCACUGCAGUUCCAUCACAGACAUGAAAAAGAUGCAGGCAAGAUAUGGAGUGUCUUCAUGGGGGAGAUUCAGAAGCCAUGGAUGGUGUAGAAAGAAAUAUUCUUCAAACAAAACCUUAUGAGGAACAGAACCAUAGCUCCUGAAACUGUGUGAAAGCAAGAGAAAGAGAGUCUUUUGUCAAUAGUCUGUCCACACAUAUCCAGACCCAACCCAAAGUUACAACCUGACCUCCACGAUCACUUUCCCUCACAGGGACCGCACUAUGAGGAACACGCCAAAGUUGAGAAAGGGUAAGAUUCUUGCCCAACCUCAAGACCAGUGCUAUUCUCUUCACGCCAAGGCAGGAAGAUCACUGAAGCCCAGAAGUUCGAGGCUAAAAUGAGCUAUGAUUGUGCCAACGCACUUCA
rnacentral:lncRNA from 1 species